UUUAGGUGAUUUUCGUCAGAUAUUCUGUAAAAUAUGUUUAAAAGAAGAAGUUGGUUCAGGGAAACCUUGUCUGAUAAGCACACUGAUGCUGUGGGAUGCAAAACUUUAUAAAGGAGCAAGAAAGAUCUUACAUGAACUAAUCUUCAGUUCCUUUUUCAUGGAAAUGGAGUAUAAAAAACAUUUUGCUAUGGAAUUUGUUAAGCAUUACAAAGCUUUGCAGAGAGAAUAUAUCAGUGAUGACCAUGAAAGGCAGUUUUCUGUGACAGCACUUUCAGUUCAGAUAUUCACUGUACCAACAUUGGUAUGUAUACUAUUAUUCCGCUAAACUUUAACAGGAGCAUUUUUC